GGAAAUCUGACGGCUUAACUGUUAGGCUUUCAUGAGGAUACUGCCUGGCUUGAGGCCGGGAGAGGUGAGAGGUACUUCAGGGGUAGGAGUGAAAUCUUGUAAUCCCUGAGGGACCACCUGUGGCGAAGGCGUCUUACCAGAACGGAUUCGACGGUGAGGGACGAAAGCUGGGGGCACGAACCGGAUUAGAUACCCGGGUAGUCCCAGCCGUAAACGAUGCUCGCUAGGUGUCAGGCAUGGCGCGACCGUGUCUGGUGCCGCAGGGAAGCCGUGAAGCGAGCCACCUGGGAAGUACGGCCGCAAGGCUGAAACUUAAAGGAAUUGGCGGGGGAGCACAACAACGGGUGGAGCCUGCGGUUUAAUUGGACUCAACGCCGGACAACUCACCGGGGGCGACAGCAAUAUGUAGGCCAAGCUGAAGACUUUGCCUGAUUCGCUGAGAGGAGGUGCAUGGCCGUCGCCAGUUCGUACUGUGGAAGCA
rnacentral:rRNA from 1 species